ensembl:lncRNA
GCUGUCUGAAAUGGAGAAUAACAUCACUGAAAAGACAGUUCAUCCAGAACAGAGUAGCAGCCUGACCCGAUAGUUGUUCAGACUGUUUUAAGACAAGUGAAAGAAAGAAGCCACAAAAUUAUGUUCAAUGUGGUUCGGGGGCUCAAAUGCAGAUACGUUUUAUGCAGACAGUCUUCUCUCAGGUUCUCAGCUCCUGAUCUUUUAAAUAAAAAUAGAAGCCAUAAUUUUGCCUAUGAAAGAUAUUAGCUAUGCAACUAGACAACUGAUUGGCUCAGAAAUUUCUGCAGAAAAAAUGUCUAUAUACAUUAAUAAAUAGUAUCCGUGAUGUUCUUGUACUUUGUUAUUGGUAGGUAGAACUGUUCAUUCAUAUUUUUUGGUUUGCAUUCAAGAGAACUGCCCGAAGAGCUGAACAAUGACAGGCAGCAUCUAGACUGCCCUUUUAAAUCAGUUGCUUUGGAGACAUCCAUCACUUUUAUGACCUCGAAAAUAAAAAAGUGUAAUUGUGAGCCUAUUAGGGAAGGAAAAAUUAGAUACCGAGAAAAAAAUAACCCAGAAAGGAAAAGAUAAAUCGUAGUAUUAAAAAACUUAAUUAUGAACACAAGGUGAAAGUAAUUUUAAGAUAAUAAUUUAUUGGUUCUGUGUGGCAUGGCCCGGUGGCUGGAGAGCUAGCUUUGGAGUCAAGAGGUGCUCUGGACACACACUGGAUGUGGGACCUUGGGCAGAUCACAUCACCUCUGUGCUUCAGCGCCGGAUACACUGCAGAUUCCUUACACUGGCUUUGGAAGCUUCCAUAAUGUGGCUGUAUCCCAUCCUGCCAGUGGGGUUGUGGUGGAGCCAACAGCUCAAGAACCAGCGGUGAAAUUUUCAGAUUGAGCCUCAUACAUCUCUGAGUGGCAAAUUCUACAAAGCAGGAACUACCUAUAUCACUUCAAUCCCUGGUCCAUUCUUAGCCAUGUACAAAUCUAUGACAUUUGGAACCUAUCAUGCACAUCAAAACAAUGCCAACAGUAAUAGGUUUGAUAGCUAGAAUUUAUAUAAUACUUUAAUGUUUACAAAGCACUAUGCCUAUAUUACCUCAUGUGAUCCCUCACAACCACCAUAGGAUGUAGAUACUAUUAAUAUUCCCAUUUUCCAGGUAAGGAAAUGGAGGCUAAGAAAUUAAGUGAUUUUCCCAAGGUCAUGCAACUUGGAAAUGUCUGGGGAGGGAUUUGAACCAAGGUCUUCCUGACUCCAAAUCCACCACUCUGAUGUUCUCUAGAUGUCUCAUAAUAAUUUUUUAUAUAAUAUAUGUUGAUCCUAUGUACUGUUUGUACAGACCAUCCCUCACCCUUGGAAUGCACUCCUUUAACAUGUCCACUUAACUGAAAUCCUUUAUUUUAACAUUAAGCUCAGGUACCACCAGUUCAUUGAUUGGGAAGAGUGGAUAUUUGUAUUCUAUAAAAAAAAAUGAGAAAUCUGGCACAAGAGGCAAAUUCACAAAUUUGCUUUCCUCUAUUUUUAUGUUUUUGACUAAUUUGUCCCAUCGGCACUCAUACCUUGAGAAAUCCCAACCCUGAUUUACUUUUUCCAGAUACCCAUUAUUCUCCAUGAAACUUGUAAAUGUCAUCUCCCCCCUCACUCCCAGCUUAAAGUAAACUCUUCCUCCUUAAGUUUCUUAUAAUGUUCUUCCUAGCUACCUCUUUUGUCCCAUCAUAUUCCACUUUGGAGGCACAUUCACUAAUUUGCUUUCCUCUAUUUUCACAUCCUUGGAUCAUAUUUGUGCAUGCUUCAUAAUCCCAAUGAGAUUGGAAACUCUUUGAGAACCGGGACUGCCAUUUUGCAUCUUUGUGUCCUCAGCACCUAGCACAAUGCCUUCUGAAUAAACGGUGUUUAAUAAAUGUUUGCUAAAACCA